GCUGGCGGCAUGCUUAACACAUGCAAGUCGAACGGUAGCACAGAGAGCUUGCUCUCGGGUGACGAGUGGCGGACGGGUGAGUAAUGUCUGGGAAACUGCCUGAUGGAGGGGGAUAACUACUGGAAACGGUAGCUAAUACCGCAUAAUGUCGCAAGACCAAAGAGGGGGACCUUCGGGCCUCUUGCCAUCAGAUGUGCCCAGAUGGGAUUAGCUAGUAGGUGGGGUAACGGCUCACCUAGGCGACGAUCCCUAGCUGGUCUGAGAGGAUGACCAGCCACACUGGAACUGAGACACGGUCCAGACUCCUACGGGAGGCAGCAGUGGGGAAUAUUGCACAAUGGGCGCAAGCCUGAUGCAGCCAUGCCGCGUGUAUGAAGAAGGCCUUCGGGUUGUAAAGUACUUUCAGCGGGGAGGAAGGUGUUGUGGUUAAUAACCGCAGCAAUUGACGUUACCCGCAGAAGAAGCACCGGCUAACUCCGUGCCAGCAGCCGCGGUAAUACGGAGGGUGCAAGCGUUAAUCGGAAUUACUGGGCGUAAAGCGCACGCAGGCGGUCUGUCAAGUCGGAUGUGAAAUCCCCGGGCUCAACCUGGGAACUGCAUUCGAAACUGGCAGGCUAGAGUCUUGUAGAGGGGGGUAGAAUUCCAGGUGUAGCGGUGAAAUGCGUAGAGAUCUGGAGGAAUACCGGUGGCGAAGGCGGCCCCCUGGACAAAGACUGACGCUCAGGUGCGAAAGCGUGGGGAGCAAACAGGAUUAGAUACCCUGGUAGUCCACGCCGUAAACGAUGUCGAUUUGGAGGUUGUGCCCUUGAGGCGUGGCUUCCGGAGCUAACGCGUUAAAUCGACCGCCUGGGGAGUACGGCCGCAAGGUUAAAACUCAAAUGAAUUGACGGGGGCCCGCACAAGCGGUGAGCAUGUGGUUUAAUUCGAUGCAACGCGAAGAACCUUACCUGGUCUUGACAUCCACAGAACUUUCCAGGAGAUGGAAUGCUGCCUUCGGGAACUGUGAGACAGGUGCUGCA
rnacentral:rRNA from 1 species